rnacentral:rRNA from 1 species
AUUGAACGCUGGCGGCAUGCUUUACACAUGCAAGUCGAACGGUAACAGGUUAAGCUGACGAGUGGCGAACGGGUGAGUAAUGCAUCGGAACGUGCCCGAUCGUGGGGGAUAACGCAGCGAAAGCUGCGCUAAUACCGCAUACGAUCUGAGGAUGAAAGCGGGGGACCGUAAGGCCUCGCGCGAUCGGAGCGGCCGAUGUCAGAUUAGGUAGUUGGUGGGGUAAAGGCUCACCAAGCCAACGAUCUGUAGCUGGUCUGAGAGGACGACCAGCCACACUGGGACUGAGACACGGCCCAGACUCCUACGAGAGGCAGCAGUGGGGAAUUUUGGACAAUGGGCGAAAGCCUGAUCCAGCAAUGCCGCGUGCAGGAAGAAGGCCUUCGGGUUGUAAACUGCUUUUGUACGGAGCGAAAAGGUCCCCUCUAAUACAGGGGGCUCAUGACGGUACCGUAAGAAUAAGCACCGGCUAACUACGUGCCAGCAGCCGCGGUAA